rnacentral:rRNA from 1 species
UCCACGCCGUAAACGAUGGACACUAGUUGUUGAAUUUAUUCAGUGACUAAGCGAAAGUGAUAAGUGUCCCACCUGGGGAGUACGAACGCAAGUUUGAAACUCAAAGGAAUUGACGGGGGCCCGCACAAGCGGUGGAGCAUGUGGUUUAAUUCGAUGAUACGCGAGGAACCUUACCAGGGCUUAAAUGUAGGUUGCAUUAGCUAGAGAUAGCUAUUUCUUCGGACUACUUACAA